UACGAAGGGGGCUAGCGUUGCUCGGAAUCACUGGGCGUAAAGGGUGCGUAGGCGGGUCUUUAAGUCAGGGGUGAAAUCCUGGAGCUCAACUCCAGAACUGCCUUUGAUACUGAAGAUCUUGAGUCCGGGAGAGGUGAGUGGAACUGCGAGUGUAGAGGUGGAAAUUCGUAGAUAUUCGCAAGAACACCAGUGGCGAAGGCGGCUCACUGGCCCGGUACUGACGCUGAGGCACGAAGCGUGGGGAGCAAACAGG
rnacentral:rRNA from 1 species